GUUCAGUCGGUAGAACGGCGGACUGUUAAUCCGUAUGUCGCUGGUUCAAGUCCAGCAGGAGGAGCCA
rnacentral:tRNA from 1 species